UGACCCCUAACUUCAGUACUACUAAACGAUAAAUAAUAUGUCAGACAUAAAAUGGACGAUCGAUUCGUGUUGCUACGCAAGUGUUCGGUAAGCGUCGUGAAUCAUCCUUCGUUGUUGAACUGACGCAACUUUCGCUACUUGCUUUAAUAAUACGUAUUAUGAGGUUCUUAAAUUUAAACCUUAAGAAUCAAAAAAUAGAGCACUUUUUUGUCUAACAAAACUUUGACCGUUUUUUAAUAUCAUGGUCCAGUAUAUAGCGCGGUUAGCGUCUACCUGACAGCUCCAUCCGUUCGCCGGCCGUAUUGUGCUAUUACCAAUUUACCGCCCAAAAUCCUUAUGAAGAAAAAAAAAACUCCAGCAGAGGCAGCAGAGGCGGUCGAGACAAGAUGGCUGAGGCUGCAUGAAGCUGGUAUUGUGAAUAUUGUGAUAAAGUUUUUAUUGUUACUGGACAUAGUAGGAAGAACUGAACAUGUCUCGAAAACCUUUUGUCCUAAUGUCUAGGCAGGGACAGUUAAAGAGAAUAAAACGAGAAAUGGCACAAAACACACAAACAAAUAAUAUUUCGACCAAUGACAGCCACACAGAGGAAAACAUAUUGUUUUCUCAUCACAACUCUCGUCAGGUGGUGCAGCUAAUGGCAGAGAACGAAUUUGACUUGAAUAGCCCGGGUUCCUCUUGACAUUGUUCCCAUCCUCCUCAAAACCAUUUCAAUUCCUCUCCAAGUCAACAAAAUACUCCAGCUUAUAAUGAUUAUUCGGCAUUUAAUAAUUUUAUUAAUGAACAGCCUUUAUCAGAUAGUGAUGACCAGGUUAAUCCAAUUGAUAUGAAUGAAUCAUUUAAAAAUAGUUUGAGACAUUGGGCUAUCAAAAAUCAAAUAACCCAUGUUGCUACUAAUGAAUUGCUGAAUAUAUUAAAAGAUCAUGAAUGUUUUGAUUUGCCAGCUGAUGCUAGAUCAUUACUUAAGACUCCGGCAAAUAUUAUCUGUCGAGUUGUUGAGCCAGGACAUUACUCUCAUAUAGGUUUGAGAAAAAUUUGAGGGAAAUAUUGAAAUUUGUUAGUGAAAAUGAUAAUGAAAUUCUUCUAUUAAUCAGCAUUGAUGGGUUACCAUUAUUUAAAAGUAGUACAAUGGAGUUUUGGCCAAUUUUGGGUUCUGUCUAUAAUGUUCCUGCAAUAAAAUCGGUUGUGUUCCCUAUUGGUGUGUAUUGUGGCCCUAAAAAACCUAUUAGCUGCACAUCUUUUAUGGAAGAAUUUAUUUCUGAAGUUGCUAAAUUGAUUAACUCGGGUUUGACUAUUAACGGCAAAAACAUUAAAGUUGCUAUUAAAGGUUUUGUUUGUGAUACUCCGGCAAAAUCUUUUCUAUUAGGAGUCAAAGGACACACAGGUUAUUAUUCAUGUACAAAGUGCAGACAGCCUGGUGUUUAUUUGGAAAACAGAAUGACAUUUCCUGAGUGUGAUGCAACUCUAAGAACCCAUGAAGAGUUUCUCAAGAUGGAUGAUGAAGAUUUUCACCGUACUCAAACGCCAUUAAUAUCAGCACAAUACCUGGCAUAAAUUUUAUUAAAAGUUUCCCAUUGGAUUAUAUGCACCUUGUUUGCCUAGGUGUUGUGCGCAGUCUUAUUUAUAUAUGGAUGUUUGGACCAGUACCAAUAAAACUGCCUCGUCAAAUUUUAAAUAACAUCAGUGCUGAUCUGGUUGCUGUUGCCAAGCACAUGCCUUUAGAGUUCAAUAGGAAACCACAUUCUUUGGAUGACGUCAAAAGGUGGAAGGCAACUGAAUUUCGCCAUUUUUUGCUAUACACAGGGCCGUUAGUACUUUCAAAAUUAAAGUCUGAAUAUUUAUCAUAUUAUAACAAUUUUAUAAGCUUUACUGUUUCUAUGAGUAUAUUAUUAAAUCCGGAAUAUUGCUUUAAAUACAAUGAAUAUGCUAGAAAUCUGCUAAAACAUUUUGUCAAAACAUUCAUCAAUUUAUAUGGCGCCCAAAUGGCAACUUAUAAUCUACAUGGUCUUGUACACCUCAGUGAUGAUGUAUAUGAAUUUGGUGCACUUGAUUCCUGUGCAGCAUUUCCAUUUGAAAACUUUUUACAGGUUUUCAAAAAGAAUAUCAGAAAAGGGGCCAAACCUCUUCAGCAAAUAAUUAAGAGGUUCGGGGAAAUGAGUAAUUCUAACUUUUGGACUAAAAACAUAUUACCUUGUGGUUCUAUUUAUCCAAUAUUUUUAAAACCUCACUCAUCAGGCUUGCUUUUGCCAGGGUGUGAUAAAUUACAGCAGUUCAGCUCAAUUAAAUUUCAAUCUUUUGUAAUAAAAACAGCACAUCCGGAUUCAUAUUGUGUUUUAAAACAUGGUAAUAUUGUAGCAGUAUGCAACAUAGUGUUUUCCAAUAAUGUGCAGAGCAUGGUUAUACUCUGUAAAGAGUUUGCAACUAAAGAAAACUUCUUUGGUACACCAUUAAUAGAAAGUUCUAGUAUAGGAAUUAAUAUAGUAAAAGAAAAAAUGAGUCUAUGUGAAAAACCUGUGUCGGAUAUUGUGGGAAAAGUUGUUCUUCUCCCUUUUCAUGAUCACCAUGUUGCAAUCAAAAUGCUGCAUUCAUAGGUCUUAAUCCAUAAUGUCCUUUGUUCCUGUCCUAUCCUUUACUAGCCUUGUGGGUUUUGUCAAAGUGGAUGAUUACUUACUACAGAUUCUUUAUAAUGGCUCAUUUUGCCAUUGUUACAUUUGUGGACGAGGCUGAUGCACCAGGAAUAAUUGCAUCAAACUGGGUAAUAAAUGAAAAUUUAUGUUCGUACCCUAAUGUACGUACAGAAGAAUUAAAAGACAAAUUGUUAAAAAGGAAAGCUGAACCCGAGGAUAAAUGGCCGCAGUAUAAAAUAAAAAUUCUAAAAUACUACGAAAAUUAUAGCGAAGCCCGUCUCCAUUUGAAAAAAGCAGAAGAAACUUCCAAUUUGGAUUCUGAUGAGGAAGUAAGAAAAAGAAAAAGAAGACUAAAAAAAAUAUCCCUGCCAGAAGACUCUAACUCAGAAGAUGAAUACCCCAUUAUGAAGAUGUCAAAAA